rfam:Agrilus planipennis Contig26881, whole genome shotgun sequence.
UCUCUCGUAGCUUAGUGGUUUGAGCAUUGAUGCGUCAAACCAGAGGUCCCGGGUUCGAUUCCCGGCGAAGGGU